CGCUACGAGCAGCUCUUGCAAUCGAUCGGAUACUCAACCUUGUUACUUGUCGUUGCUUCCUCCAUAUCGCCCUAUUUAUCCGCAUCCUCUUUCAACAACAUCCGCAGCAUCCGGUGCAACUGACGAAUCAAAAACAAGUUGUAGAACCACUAGCCAUUGUGCCGCCAUAGUGACUAUCUGUCCGGGUCCUUCGCAUCCAAACGCAUCGAUCCUAUUCCGCUGCAGUCAGCUGUGAAAGUAGUCGUGUCAGCCAAGAUGUCUGGCUUUAGAGCACUUGGCAACACACACACAAAAAAAAAAAAGGAAAAAGG